rnacentral:rRNA from 1 species
UACGUAGGGGGCAAGCGUUGUCCGGAUUUAUUGGGCGUAAAGAGCGUGUAGGCGGCUAGGUAGGUCCGUUGUGAAAACUCGAGGCUCAACCUCGAGACGUCGAUGGAAACCAUCUAGCUAGAGUCCGGAAGAGGAGAGUGGAAUUCCUGGUGUAGCGGUGAAAUGCGCAGAUAUCGGGAGGAACACCGGUGGCGAAGGCGGUUCUCUGGGCCUUACCUGACGCUGAGGAGCGAAAGCGUGGGGAGCGAACAGG